rnacentral:rRNA from 1 species
CAAUGCCGCGUGUGUGAAGAAGGCCUUCGGGUUGUAAAGCACUUUCGAUGGGGAAAAACAAGUUCGACCUAAUACGUCGGACCCUGAUGGUACCCAGAGAAGAAGCACCGGCUAACUCUGUGCCAGCAGCCGCGGUAAUACAGAGGGUGCAAGCGUUAAUCGGAAUUACUGGGCGUAAAGCGUGCGUAGGUGGUUUGUUAAGUCAGGCGUGAAAUCCCUGGGCUCAACCUGGGAACUGCGCUUGAUACUGGCAGACUAGAGUGUGGUAGAGGGUAGUGGAAUUCCGCAUGUAGCAGUGAAAUGCGUAGAUAUGCGGAGGAACACCAGUGGCGAAGGCGGCUACCUGGACCAACACUGACACUGAGGCACGAAAGCGUGGGGAGCAAACAGGAUUAGAUACCCUGGUAGUCCACGCCCUAAACGAUGGGUACUAGACGUCGGGAAGUUUAUCUUCUUGGUGUCGCAGCUAACGCAAUAAGUACCCCGCCUGGGGAGUACGGUCGCAAGAUUA